AUCUCAUCCGAAGCCUAACCUGACUGAUGGGUUUCCAAUAAGAGACGAUGAAGAUCUCGUUUUGAUCGGGCUGUCUGUCUGCUGGGGAUCAAGAGGUGCAUGCUACAUCUGUCUGCAGCAGGAGCAGAGCAAAGGUCUGAGCUCCAGCCUGGCUCCUCCUCCACUGGAUGAUGAGCUGCCAGUAAGUCAAAGGCUGGAGCAGGUGAAGGUCUGUCUCAGCCACCAAUCAGCUGGUGACAAAGGAAGAGUGGUUGUCACAUAUGACAUCAUCAAGGUGUACAAGACGUUCUGAGCUGUGGUAUCAGCUUGGAGGGAACCUGUGAAGACCUGAAGGUUGCAUGCUGGCUGCUGGACCCUAGCAGUGAGGAGAGGACACUUCCAAACAUGGUGACUGUCUAUUGUCCUGAAGAGUUACCCCUGCUGGACGGUCUGGGGAGUACCCUUUCACACUGUCCUCGCAUCAGGGCAGCGACCAAGAGUGUGUUCAUACACACUGUGAUGAACCAACUCACUGGCCUGUUGGAGAAAGAUGGCACACUAGAUUUAUUGAGGAAUAUAGAGAUGCCCUCCCAGGUUUGUCUGGCCCUGUUGGAGCUGAAAUGAGUUGGUUUCAGUGUGGACGAGUGCGAGAGACAAAAACGUGAUGCAAGCCAAACUUUCAGCGUUGGAGUCAGAAACUUACAGC